GAUGAACGCUGGCGGCGUGCCUAAUACAUGCAAGUCGAGCGAACGGACGAGAAGCUUGCUUCUCUGAUGUUAGCGGCGGACGGGUGAGUAACACGUGGAUAACCUACCUAUAAGACUGGGAUAACUUCGGGAAACCGGAGCUAAUACCGGAUAAUAUUUUGAACCGCAUGGUUCAAAAGUGAAAGACGGUCUUGCUGUCACUUAUAGAUGGAUCCGCGCUGCAUUAGCUAGUUGGUAAGGUAACGGCUUACCAAGGCAACGAUGCAUAGCCGACCUGGGAGGUGGUUCGGCCCACUGGGACCUGGACCACGGCCCAACCCCCAACGGGGGGCAGCGGAGGGAAUUUUUCCCAAUGGGGGAAAGCCCGACGGGGCAAACGCGCGUGAGGUAAGAAGGUUUUGCGAUUGGAAAACCCUUUUUUUUGGGAAAAAAAAAAUGGGAAAUAAACGUGGACGUUCUGGACGGACCUAAUUCGAAAACCCCCGGUAAACUCGUG
rnacentral:rRNA from 1 species